rnacentral:lncRNA from 1 species
CCUUUGUUUAAUACAGGGUUUCCUUGGUCAUCUUUUAUAUCUCUCCAGACCACAGGAAAUCACUGCAGUUAAUGCAGUUAAACAAAAAUGAAAGGAAAAAUGGACUCAUCAGGAAAAGAUGGAGCUACUAAUGAGUAUAUUUUCCUGUUUCUGCAAAUCCAGUCUAAUGAUUGAGAAUUUGCCCUCUUCUAGUGCACUUUGGCUUUGAGUUUAUCCAACAACUUCCUCAUAAAGUCUUCUUUGUAAACACUGCCAGCUGGAAUUGCCAUCUUAUGGUCAUUUUAUCAGUACUUCCAUGCUAUUAUUUGAGAAGAGUUUAAUGGCUGCUCUGUCAUUGACUUCAGAUAUUGCUAUAAUGCUUCCCACAAGCCAAGUGCUGCAGACUUUGAUGUUCGUUCUCCAACAACAGGAGAUUUGGGGUAUGUUAUCCCAUCAUCAAUCCUCCAGCUUACACUACUGCAGCAGAUGGUACAUAGAAACCCAGGGUGUAUUCUUGUGAUGAAGAAGUAAAUAAAAGUAUAUGACACUAUAAUGCUGACUUCA